AUGAGGAAGUCGAGGAUCAAAGAGAAGUAUCUUGCUCAAGGUCACAGCCAGGAAGCGGUGAAAAUAGGAUCUGAACUUAAGUCUGGUUGGAAGUCUAUAUGCUUUCUAAUGCGCCUCCGUGUCACCUCUGUGUCAUUGUGUGGAAUAUUUGAAGAUCAUGCUUCACAAUCUGUUGCCCAGGGUACAAGACAGCCUUUAUAUGAAGAAUAUCUCAGUGAAUGUUGUCGUGAAUAUUUGCCCUUGGGAUCUGCCGAGGAAGGGCCUGACAUUUUAAGAGUUGUGUCCUCGGUACACGUGGGUGACAUUGUGCAGGCCUCAAAUGAGCAGUUCCCUCCUGCAGACAUGGUCCUGAUUUCUUCCAGUGAACCUCAGUCAGCAUGUUAUGUUUCAACAUCUAAUCUGGAUGGGGAGACAAAUCUAAAAAUACAUCAGGCUUUGUCAGAAACAGCUGAAAUGCAAACAGAAAAGCAGUUGUCAAACCUAUCUGGAAAAAUAGAAUGUGCAGGACCUCAUUGUCAUUUCAAUAGCUUUGUGGGAACCUUGUGCCUAAGUGGUAAAAGCCCCCUUCCACUUGGGCCUGACCAGGUCGUGCUAAGAGGUACACAGCUUAAAAAUACUUGGUGGAUCCUUGGCAUAGUUGUUUACACUGGAUUUGAAACGAAAUUCAUGCAGAAUUCAGUCAAAUCGCCUCUCAAGAGGUCAAAGGUGGAGAAACUGGCCAACGUGCAGAUCCUGGCGCUGUUCGUGCUGCUCUUGGCGAUGUCCUUGGUGAGCUGUGUGGGAGCCUUUCUCUGGAAUCGAAGGUAUGGAGCAGACAUUUGGUACAUCAGGAAGAAGGGUGAGUAUUACAAUUCCCACAACUUUGGGUUUGAUUUAUUGGUGUUCAUUACCUUGUACCACAAUCUCAUCCCCAUUAGUAUGCUGGUCACUCUGGAAAUGGUGAAAUAUGUUCAGACCCUGUUUAUAAACUGGGAUGACGAUAUGCAUUAUAAAGAAAACAAUGUCUACGCCAUGGCCAGAACAUCGAAUCUUAAUGAAGAGCUUGGGCAGGUAAAAUACUUAUUUUGUGAUAAAACGGGAACCCUCACUUGCAAUAUUAUGACAUUUAAGAAGUGUACCAUUGCAGGUAUAAUUUAUGGUCAGCCGCCUUCUCCCAUCACAGACUCCUGUGAAUUUGAUGACCCAACAUUAUUGCAGAACUUGGAGAGUAACCAUCCCAUGAAAGACUAUAUAAAGGAAUUUCUUACCCUGUUGUGUGUGUGCCACACUGUUGUUCCUGAGACAGAUGGAAAUGAUAUAAUCUACCAAGCUUCCUCCCCAGAUGAAGCAGCUUUAGUGAAAGGAGCAAAGAAACUCGGCUUUGUUUUCACUACAAGAACGCCGUAUUCUAUCAUCAUAGAAGCUAUGGGAGAAAACUUAACGUAUGAAAUUCUUAACGUCCUGGAGUUUUCUAGUAAUAGAAAAAGGAAGUCUGUAAUUGUCCGAACUCCUGCAGGACAGCUCCGGCCCUACUGCAAAGGGGCUGAAUUUCUGCUACUUGGAGCCACAGCCAUUGAAGAUUGCCUUCAAGCACGUGUUCCAGAAACGAUAACCAACUUACUGAAAGCAGACAUUAAAAUAUGGGUCCUGACAGAAGAUAAACAAGAAACUGCAAUUAACAUAGGCUACAGUAAGAAAUGUGUAGGGGAUGGGGCCAGCCCUGUGGUCGAAAAUGAAAAAAAUUUAGAAGCAACACAGGAAAUGAUUAAUCAGAACUGUCAAGAUCCUGGAGCCUUGUUAGGUAAAGAAAAUGACCUGGCGCUAAUCAUUGAUGGUGAGACAUUGAGAUAUGCCCUCCGUUUUGAAGUUAAGAGGUGCUUCCUCAGUUUGGCCUUCUCAUGUAGAGCAGUACUGUGCUGUAGGUUAUCUCUUCAGAAGGCUGAAAUAGUGGACUUGGUUAAGAAGCAUGUAAGGGCCAUCACUCUUGCCAUUGGGGACGGUGCCAACGAUGUUGGGAUGAUCCGGAUGGCCCACGUGGGUGUGGGAAUCAGUGGAAACGAGGGCAUGCAGGCGUCCAACAACUCAGAUUAUGCCAUCGCACGGGUCAGCGAUGUGGGCAUGGAGAGUAUUGAAGACCUUGGGUCCAUCCCCGAGGAGCCUUAUGUAAUUGUUGAGCAGCUCCUAGGAAUAACCUGGUACUCUGGGGAGGCCACGCCUGCUGGGGCUGUUCCUAUGGUGGCUGUCUCUGAGAGGCUAGAUGAUUUAGUAAUCUGUCCACAGGUGUUUUGGAUUCGCUGUCUAAGUGCUUUGGUCCAUUCCUUCAUCCUCUUCUGGUUGCCCACAAAAAUGGUGGAGCAUGAUAUGGUCUUACGAGGUGGUCACACUACAGACUAUUUGUUUCUUGGAAAUUUUAUUUAUACAUAUGUAGUUGUUACUGUUUGUCUGAAAGCUGGUUUGGAGACACUGUCUUGGAAUAAAUUUUGUCAUUUGGCAGUCUGGGGAAGCGCAGUGAUAUGGCUGGUGUUCCUUGCAGUUUACUCUUCCCUCUGGCCCACCGUUCCUAUUGGUUCCGAAAUGACGGGACAGAAAUGGGAGAAAACCCUUGUACCCCGAGGCCUGGGGCAGCCCAAGGCCCAGGAAAUAAGAAUUCUGAGAGACUUCCUCUUUCAGCCAGGACCAAGUGUUGGAAUAGCCUGA